rnacentral:rRNA from 1 species
AGAUGUCGGGUUAAGUCCCGCAACGAGCGCAACCCUCGACCUUAGUUGCCAGCAUUCAGUUGGGCACUCUAAGGUGACUGACCGGCUAAAAAGUCGGAGGAAGGUGGGAUGACGUCAAAUCAUCAUGCCCCUUAUGACCUGGGCUACACACGUGCUACAAUGGGCGGUACAAAGGGUCGCGAACCCGCGAGGGGGAGCCAAUCCCAAAAAAGCCGCUCUCAGUUCGGAUUGCAGGCUGCAACUCGCCUGCAUGAAGCCGGAAUCGCUAGUAAUCGCGGAUCAGCAUGCCGCGGUCGAAUACGUUCCCGGGCCUU